rnacentral:rRNA from 1 species
GACAGAGGAUGCAAGCGUUGUCCGGAAUCAUUGGGCGUAAAGCGCACGUAGGCGGCCCGGUAAGUCCGUUGUGAAAGUCAGAGGCUCAACCUCUGGAGGCCAAUGGAUACUGCCGGGCUAGAGUCCGGAAGAGGCGAGUGGAAUUCCUGGUGUAGCGGUGGAAUGCGCAGAUAUCAGGAGGAACACCAAUGGCGAAGGCAGCUCGCUGGGACGGUACUGACGCUGAGGUGCGAAAGCGUGGGGAGCGAACAGG